CCAUCGAAGGUUAGGGUUUACGCUGUUGUCAACAUCAUUAUGAUUUGUGACUACGAUUUCCUUCCUGUUCAAUGAGGUACUUUCCUUCUCUUAUCGUUCCUAAUCUAAUUAAAUAGCUUUCUAGAUCUUAUUCGUUGAUUUUCAUGAAUUUGAGGGAUUGCUUGCUCUGAGAUCAUGGUCGAAUGUAAAUUAAAAUUAUGUGCUUUGCUGAUUAUGCUGGUUUGUGGAGAACAAAUUGCAGAAUUUUGCUCCACACCACUCGGAUGUCCUUGAGAACUUGAGUUCGACAGUCAUGGACCGUGUAGAGAUUCUAAGAGAGAUCCAGGGGAGACAAUCUUCCAGUUAGAUGAAUAUGUACAUAGUCUUUUUUACUUAUUCCUUUUAAAUUUUGCAUUGCUGGACCACCAUGAUAAAAUGGAAUCAAGGAGAGGCAGCGGUAGAAGCUUAGUAUCAGAAGUUGUAUCAACCUUUGUAUACAAAGCUUGGAUUUUGAUGUCGGAGAGCAAGAGGAUUAGCCAAUCAGAACUCGCCAAGCGUCCUGACCCGUUCUUUCUACCGGAUCUCCUUGAUGGGUUUGAAGAGAGCAAAUAUGGUUGGCUAGCUGAUGAUGUUAAGAGGCUUUGUGAGCUCAAAAGGAAACUCUUGAACGGUUCUGUCUCAGUGGGUCUGCCUCAAGAAUCAGUCACUGUAAGCUUUAUUGCAUAAAUGAAUGUUUUUAUUAGUUUAAACUCUUUGUGUAGCUCUGCAUCUUUUAUGUUGUAAAGAUUGAAGAUUGCUCAGGAUCUGAUGCAAGUCCUGAACGUUAUAACGAGGAGGAUUCAUCAUCCAAGACACCUACUGAUGAUGACAAUGAAACUCAUCUAAAUGGAGUUGAUGAUGAAGAAGAAGAAGAAGCAGAACUCUGGAGGCAAAUGGCUUUUGCUCAAGAAUCAUCUAAAGUUGGUUACUUCUUUUACAUUGACCAACAGUUUCUCUGUGCAUUUCUUAGCGUUUUCAGCUCUUUUUUGUUUGCAUAUUGUUAGGUAACGGUGGAGAAUGUACAAGACAACGAUCCCAAACAAACCGAAGACUGUGAGCACUCCUUCAUCUACAAGGAUGACGUUGGAGAAGUCUGCCGUGUUUGUGGACUCAUCAAAACACUGGUACAUUUGUACUCAUAAUGGCUGAUCACUGGUACACUCUAACUCUAAACAAUAGGUUUACAUUGUUCACAUUAAACAGCUUUGUGAGAUUAUGAAUGGUGUGGUUGAGGUUGAAGGUGCACCAGAAGAACUCUGGAAGGGUUAAAGCUGGUGGUCAAACGCUUCAUCAAGCAGGUAGAGUUGAAUAUUGAGUUUGUACAUAAUACUAUCAAAGCAUCAUAGCUAUCAUUAAUAAAUUACAGAGAGCUUUCAAGUUGGAUUUGAAGUCCUCACUGAUAAAUGCUUUAGAGAAUUCAAGACCAUGUUUGAGCAAAUAGACUCGCGGCCUUGGAAAAAGAGAUGACCGAGCACAAAAACACUACCCAACAAACAAACAAAAAACCCGGAACAUCAAAUAAUAAUAUUAAUAUUUACAAUUAUUCCCAAAGUAAAAUCUAAUUACUUAAAUUAUUAAAACAAGAAACUGUAAAAUUAAUAUUACAUCAACUGUGAGAAAGUAAACCUUUUAUAACUUUACAACUAAAAAUAUUUCUAAUCAUGAAGCAAAAUUUCUUUACAUCACAAAACAAACACAAAAAAAAGAGAAAUUAAAUAGCAAACUAUAAAUGAUAAAUUUUAAUUAUGAUUAAAACGAUAAAUUGAAGAAAGCAAAUAAAGAACCGGUUUACAAGUCGGUUGGUAUUUUCUUUUAAAGACGAGUACAAAAAUGAAAACUUAAUAACUGUAAAACCAAACAAAAUUUAUACAGUAAUAAUUAUAAGUUUACAAUUGUUUUACAUAAAAAUAAAUAAUCAAGACAAAGAACAUAUAUAAAUCUUAACUAAUAAUUAGUCAACGUUUUAUUAAUCUUACUAAUAUCCUAUAUAAAAUUUCAAUAAAAUAAAAAACAAAUGAUUUCAAAUAGUUUUAAAUUUGCAUUUAUUUUAUAAUUGUAUAACUAAUAAUUUGUACAUUUUAAAAUAAAAAUAUACAAAUUAAAUUAAUAGUAUAGGAAAAAAUCCGGGCGUAGCCCGGAAAACCCUCUAGUAUCUAAUAAUUAUAACAUACAAACUUUAUUAACGAGAGUUUAGAAUAUAUACAUACUCAAACAAGUUCAACUACAGCGACAUGUGCCUCUUACGGAGACUUAACGAAACCAGAUCAUACAUACGUCGUGAUGUUGGUGAAAUCGAAUCGCAAAAUUCUGCAACUGGGUUUCAAAUUGCUUGAAGUAAGAGAUUCUUAUUGUUUUUGUCCUUUGGAUGAUUGUUGCUUUGUCAUUUUGAGUUUCCUUAGAAUUCAAAGUUCUAAUUUUUGGAUGAUGAUGAUACUAUUCUCUUUUUCUGCCAAAUUGUUUUUUUUUUUGUUAAAUAUCUCUGCAAAAUUGUUUAAUGCCUUUAUAUUGUUUCAGUUUGAGUUCAAUGAUUCACCAAUAUGCGAUAAUAUUUUUAUCAAUAUAGUGCAUAGGAAACAUGAUAAUGUCCGUUUUUCCUUUUAUCGUAUAUGUUAUGAGAAAAAUUGUACAGAUUUUUGAUCAUAGAUAGUUUGGUAAAAUUAUGUUUCCUUGGAAUUGGAUUGGGAGCCACAUGAAAGUGAACCUCUCCUUAAUAUUGAUAUUCACGUUGACAUUUGCAUUAAAAUCAAGAUGUGUAAGGAAAGGAAAAAAAAUAUUCCGUAUCUAUUAAUAUUGUCUAUAUAAUGAACAUCUCCACAUAUCAGUCUGCGUUCAUAACUAUGAGUCCGUAGUUAUUUGUAAUGUAUAUCAGUAUAUACAUAUAUUUGUAUUAGGAAAUAAAAUAUAGUAUAUUAUUAAUGAUAAGCUUUUUGUGCAUGGUAAGUUAAUAUGUCAUAUUUUGUGCCGAUAUAUGGAUAAUAUUUUCUAUUUUUUGUUUAUUUUGGAAAAACAAUUCUUGAUAAUAGAAAUAUUAUAAAAACUAGAGAAAAUCAACAAAAAAUGAAAAAUUAAUAAAAACAUGGCUGAUGUAAGAAAAUAUAAAUUCUCUACAUUUUCGAAAAGAAAUAUUUUAGAGAACCUUUAUUAGAAGAUGAAAAUAUUCUUUUGUCAUUAAUAGUAAAUUGUAUACUUAAAAACAAAUUAUAUUAAUUAAAUUAUUCUUGAUUUUAUAUUGUUAAUUAUAAUUAAAUAUAAAAUAUUUUAUAAUAUCAUUUCAUAUUUAAUUUGCGUAAAACACAAAACAAUAUCUUUACAAAAAUGAAUAUACAAUAAUAAAAAUACAUCAUAUUGGUCGAUAAAUAAGAAAUGGCAUCAGUUAUGUCUUAGCGAGAGUGCAUAUAGGGGUUAUCUAUAUAACCAAACAAAUAAUAAUUUCUAACAAACAAAAAUUAUGUAAAAAAAUAAUCAAACCAAAUUUCUAAACCAAUUACUACACAUAAUUUUAUUUAUUUUAUAAUACUUAAUCAAAAUUUUAUAAACAUAAUUUCCCGUCAAAAUGGAUGAACCAACCCAAACCAAACCAUGCGUACAUCAAGCUGGUCAAUAAAUUAAAAAAAAAGUUUUUUUUUAUUUCUCUUAGAAUCUUAACUCUUCUUACUAAAAAAUAAAAUAAAAGAAUAUGAAUCUCAUGCAUUAACAUAAGAACCAAAAAUUAUCUAUUAUAUUAUAUUAGGUUUAAAUAUAAUAAUAUAAAAUUAUAGGACUAUAUCUUAAGCUUUACGUUUAAAUAUAUGAAGAAAACAAUGUUCUUAUAAAUUCUAUUUUGUAACUGAACUAAAAUAAUAAUAAUAAUAAUAAUAAUAAUAAUAAUAAUAAUAAUAAUAAUAAUAAUUCGACUGAACUGGUUAGG